rnacentral:rRNA from 1 species
CCCUUAGAUGUUCUGGGCCGCACGCGCGCUACACUGAUGCAUUCAACGAGUUUCUUCCUGGUCCGAGAGGAAUGGGUAACCUUUUGAAAGUGCAUCGUGAUAGGGAUAGACUAUUGCAAUAAUUGGUCUUCAACGAGGAAUUCCUAGUAGACGUAGUUCAUCAGACUGCAUCGAUUACGUCCCUGCCCUUUGUACACACCGCCCGUCGCUCCUACCGAUUGAAUGCUCAGGUGAGCCAUUCGGACUUUCAUCAUGCUGGUUUCCAGUUUUGAUGAAGGAAAGUCUUGCGAACCUUAUCAUUUAGAGGAAGGAGAAGUCGUAACA